UCAGUGCCGAAGCGAAGGUGAUAAGUCCACUGCCUGGGGAGUACGGUCGCAAGGCUGAAACUUAAAGGAAUUGGCGGGGGAGCACCGCAACCUGAGGAUUGUGCGGUUUAAUUGGAUUCAACGCCGGAAAACUCACCAGUGCCGACGGACAGAUGAAAGCCAGUGUGAUGAGCUUGCUGGAUUGUUCGAGAGGUAGUGCAUGGCCGUCGUCAGUUCGUACCGCAAGGCGUUCUGUUAAGUCAGAUAACGAACGAGACCCUCAUCCCUAUUUGCCAAGGUCUGUCCGCAGAUCACGGGACUAUAGGGAGACCGCUGGCGCGAAGUCAGAGGAAGGCGAGGGCAACGGUAGGUCAGUAUGCUCCGAAUGCUAUGGGCUACACGCGCAAUACAAAGGACGGGACAAUGGGAUGCGACACCGAGAGGUGAAGCUAAUCCUCUAAACUCAGUCUUAGUACAGAUCGAGGCUUGCAACCCAGCCUCGUGACGCCGGAAUCCCUAGUAAUCGGAUGUCAUCAUCGUCCGGUGAAUAUGUCCCUGCUCCUUGCACACACCGCCCGUCAAAUCAACCGAGCAGGAUUU
rnacentral:rRNA from 1 species